UACGGGGGGAGCAAGCGUUGUUCGGAUUUACUGGGCGUAAAGGGCGCGUAGGCGGCCAGCACAAGUCAGUUGUGAAAUCUCCGAGCUUAACUCGGAAAGGUCAACUGAUACUGUGCGGCUAGAGUGCGGAAGGGGCAACUGGAAUUCUUGGUGUAGCGGUGAAAUGCGUAGAUAUCAAGAGGAACACCUGCGGCGAAGGCGGGUUGCUGGGCCGACACUGACGCUGAUGCGCGAAAGCGUGGGGAGCGAACAGG
rnacentral:rRNA from 1 species